UUACUAUGUUCGAUUACAGGUGAUUUCUCAUUAUUGCAGAAAUAAAAAGGGAAUCCAUGCCGCAAAACAGGAUUUGCGGCGAGGAGCGGACCCGCCGCUGUAACCGGGGACGAACGUCACAACGCCACUGGAAAAGCCGUUUAAACGGCUUUCCGGGAAGGAGUGAUCAGUAGAACGAUCCGGAAGCCAGAAGACCUGCCUGUAAUUGCUUCACGAA
rnacentral:ncRNA from 2 species